UCAUCACAAUUACUGGAGUGGUUCCCACAAUUUGUUUUCAAUGAUGCGGCUUCCAAAUCGACAAUCGACUUUGUUAGACUUGAUCUACACUAUUGCAAAUAUUUGGAAACUAAAUUUCAGAAUUUUUCGACAUCAUUUGGCUAGUGAUCAAAAGGUCUCAAAAUUGACAAUUUUAAUGAUAGAUGUGAUGUAUUUGUAAAUUUAACGAUGUAAAACAAUCCAAAUCAGAUAAAAUUUUUAUAGAAAAUUCUUUUUACUAUUUAGAGUAAGAUCAAUACCUCUGA
rnacentral:lncRNA from 1 species